rnacentral:tRNA from 1 species
GCCUCGGUGGUACAAUGAUAAAGUGCUUGGCUGCCAACCGAAAGGCUGGUGGUUCAAAUCCACCUAGAGACU